GACGAACGCUGGCGGCGUGCUUAACACAUGCCAGUCGAACGCUGAAGCACCAGCUUGCUGGUGUGGAUGAGUGGCGAACGUGUGAGUAAUACGUGAGUAACCUGCCCUUGACUCUGGGAUAAGCCCGGGAAACUGGGUCUAAUACUGGAUGCUACAUGUCACCGCAUGGUGGUGUGUGGAAAGGGUUUACUGGUCUUGGAUGGGCUCACGGCCUAUCAGCUUGUUGGUGAGGUAAUGGCUCACCAAGGCGACGACGGGUAGCCGGCCUGAGAGGGUGACCGGCCACACUGGGACUGAGACACGGCCCAGACUCCUACGGGAGGCAGCAGUGGGGAAUAUUGCACAAUGGGCGAAAGCCUGAUGCAGCGACGCCGCGUGAGGGAUGACGGCCUUCGGGUUGUAAACCUCUUUCAGCAGGGAAGAAGCCACAAGUGACGGUACCUGCAGAAGAAGCGCCGGCUAACUACGUG
rnacentral:rRNA from 1 species